ACAAAGAAGGUUUUUUCCUAUGUUUGAUUCUUCUUUUUUAUAAGCUUUAAGUUAUGAAUCACCUUGCUGUUAUAAGUUUCUUUAAAGUUUAUGCUUAGACAGAUCAAGACGGUGGAAGAGGAUGUGGAGCUCACCUCUUCCCACAAAUACACCAGAAAUCAUCUACAAAUGGAGCAAUCCUCACAGGAUGUCUACUGAACACUGACAGAAGAACUCCAACACCUGAAAGGACAAGAGGGAUUUCCACAUAACCAGGUAAGAUGAAAAAGAAAAAAAAAAGAGGUAGAAGCAGGUCAGCACCUGUGUCCCAGGGAGGGAGCUAAAGUAAAGGGGAGGCUGUGGCUCCUGGGGGAAACCCCUCACAGUGGAGACCAGCAGGACAGGAAAGGAGCUCCAGAACCUCAGAGGAUAGCACAACAGCCAGUCUUUAGCAGGCAGGACAGAAUGAGACAUACACAUAUGGUUCAUGCAACCACCCUGCACACCUAAGUCUGAGAUAAGAUUUCUAAGAUACAGGUGGAAGCUGAGUGCUAAAGUGUAGGGUUUGGAGAAGAGACCUGGGGAUAGGAUAGCUAUUAGCUGUGUGGAACAGCAUGGAGCCAUGGAAGGGCAGAGUGCUGCAAAUAGGAAAAUUUAGAAAAGAGGCCAGGACCACCAGGGAGGGUAAGUGUCACUGGCAGGUAGCAGGCGAGGGACAAAGACAUCAUUACAGCCCCCUUCCUAACACAGGCCUCUGCCUCUGUGAGCUCUGCUGGAGGCUCCUGCCUGAGCUGGACUGCACCUCCUAUCGCAGCCUGACACUCUCCUGCUGGAAAAGGCUGUUGGAUAUCCCAAUUAUGGCCUCACCCCGCCUCACUUCACACAUCAAUUUCUGCCCCCAACCCUAUGUACCUGUUGCCUCCAAAGCAGUAGCUGACCACUCAGCCACCCUGUAUACCUAUUGAUUCAGGAGUAAUCAUCAGUGGUUUUCUCCAACAUAGAGGUGAAACUAAAACCGUAGCUGAGCCCCAGCAGUCCUGUAACUAAGGAGAAAGAUCCAAAACCUCUCCUCCUGGCCGCAAAAACCCAGUUUCCCACUUCCACUGCCAGCCCUCUAAGUUCAGUACUAGUAGAAGAUCCAAACAGACAAUAAGUGCUCUUGCAGCUGAAAGGGGUCUGGUUUAGCAGCCAUGGGUUUUGUGGGUACAUACACACAGGGGUUGGACCAGGCCAGAGACUGAGCUGAAUCCAUAGCAGGCCUGGGUCCUGACCUCAGUGGCUCUGCAUCAGUGGUCAGAUGAGAAUAAUGCCUGAGAGACACCAGGGCCAGUUACUGACGUACCUGUGAUUAAGAUGGGGAUUAACCAAGAGUAGUAUCAAAGAUGGUGUUGUUUGUGAGCCUGCACAAUAAAAAGUGGCACGCACACACACACACACACACACACGUGAACAGCUCUAGCAGAGGAAUACUCAGUGGCACCUCUCCCAGUGGGAGUAUUAAAAUCCCUCCUACUUGCACUGCAGAUCAGAAAUAGCUCAGAAACAGAUCUGCUGGCUUCGACCCUAACAACUAGGGAGCAGACUCCUCCUCUUACAGGGCUGAGACAACCAUAGAGCAAAUAGGAGGCCCUGCUCAAUAUCUAGAACAAGCUCUGGUCACAACUACAUCAGUCACAUCUUCUAUCAAGAAGAUAACUGCUGGCACCCACUGAGGAAAUAGGUGGCAGACAUCCAAAUUAAAAAUAGCCCUUGCAUUAAAAAAAGUAUCAAAUGUAGACACGCUGCCUAAAGUCAUAAUGAGCUGACAGCACCUCUAAACACACCAACUGACAUGGCCCUAACCACCAGAGGGCCACGACCAGCUCCACCAAUCAGUGGGAAGACACCUGUCCCUCCAACCAGGAAUCCUGCUCAAACCCUGGACCAAACUGACCCACCAGAGGGCAGACACUAGAAGGAAAAUGAACUGAAACCCUGCAUCUAACAGAAAGGAAAUCACAAACCUAGACAGACAAAUGAGACAACUGAGAAGUAUCUUUCAGAAAAAGGAACACAAUGAAAACCACAAAAACAACUAAAUGAAGAGGAGAUAGGCAAUCUACCUAAAAAGUAAUUCAGAGUAAUGAUAGUAAGGAUGAUCCAAGAUCUCAGAAAAAAGAAUGGAUACACAGAUUGAGAAGGUACAAGAAAUGUUUAACAAAGAGGUAGAAUGUAUAAAGAGCAAGCAAACCAAGGCGAACCAUAUACCUGAAAAGAAAAAUGCACUAGACGGAAUCAACAGCAGAAUAACUGAGGCAGAGGGAUGAAUAGGUGAGGUGGAAUAAAGAGUAGUGGAAAUCACUCCCAUGGAAAAGAAUAAACAGCAAAGAAUGAAAAGAAAAGAGAACAAUCUAGGAGACCUUGGAACAACAAACAUACCAACAUUCACAAAUUAGGGGUCCCAGAAGGGAAGAGAGAUAGAACAAACCUGAGAAAAUAUUUGAACAGAUUGUAGCCAUAAACUUUCCUAAGAUGGGAGAGGAAACAUUCACUCAAAUAGAUAAGCCCAGAGAAUCCCUUACAGGAUAAUCCAAAGGAGGAACACACUUAGACACAUAUUAAUCAAACUGACAAAAUUUAAAUACAAAAAAAUAAUAUUAAAAGCAGCAAGAAGAGUUCCUGUCGUGGCACAGUGGUUAAUGAAUCUGACUAGGAACCAUGAGGUUGCAGGUUCAAUCCCUGGCCUUGCUCAGUCGGUUGAUGAUUGGGUACUGCUGGGAGCUGUGGUGUAUGUCACAGACACGGCUUGGAUCCUGUGUUGCUGUGGCUCUGGCAUAGGCCGGUGGCUAUGGCUCCAAUGAGACCCCUAGCCUGGAAAUCUCCAUAUGCUGCAGGAGUGGUCCUAGAAAAGGCAAAAAGACAAAAAAUAAUAAUAAAUAAAAGCAACAAGGGAAAAGAAAGAAAUAACAUAGAAGUGAAUCCCCAGAAGGUUAUCAGCUGAUUUUUCAGCAGAAACUACAUGCAGAAAGGAGUGGUACAAUAUAUUUAAAUGAGGAAAGGGAAAAAACUUCAACCAAAAAUACUCUACUCAGCAAGGCUCUCAUUCAGAUUUGAAAGAGAACUUGAAAGCUUUACAAACAAGCAUAAGCUAAAAGAAUUCAGCACCACCACACCACCUUUAAGACAAAUGCUAAGGUAACUUCUCUAGGUUGGAAAAAAAAAAAAAAAAAAAAAGCCACAACUGGAAAACAAGAAAAACUCUGAAGAAACAACCUAUCCAUACACUUGGAAGCAGUCAUAAAAACAUUAAACAAAACCCAAAGUGAGUAGAUGGAAAGAAAUCAUAAAGAUCAGAGCAGAAAUAAAUGACUGAUGAAGAAAACAAUAAAAAAGAUCAAUAAAACUGUGGUUCUUUGAAAAUAUCAACAAAAUUGAUGAACAUUUAAUCAAACUUACCAAGAAAAAAAGGGCUCAAUUAAAUAAAAUUAAAAAUGAAAAAAGACAAAUGAGAACAGACAUCAAAUAAAUACAAAGGAGGAGAUACUAGGAUACUAUAGAACUCUUAGAGGAAAAUAUAGACAGAACACUUUGACAUAAAUUGCAGCAAUAUCUUUUUGGCUCUAUCUCCUAGAGUAAUAAAAAUAAAACCAAAAAUAAGCAUAUUUGACCUAAUUAAAAGCUUUUGCACAGCAGAGGAAACCAUUAAAAAACUGAAAACACAACCCACAGAAUGGGACACAAUCUUUGUAAAUGAAGCAACAGAUAAGGGAUUAAUCUCCAAAAUAUACAAAUAUCUGAUGCAACUUUAUAUCAAAAAAAAGAACCACUCAAUCAAAAAGUCAGAAAAUCUAAAUAAACAUUUCUCCAAAGAUGACAUACAGACUGUCAAAAAGCACAUGAAAAGAUGCUCAACAUCACUAAUUAUUAAAGAAAUGCACAUCGAAACUACAAUAAGCUUAUCACCUCCCACCAGUUAGAAUGGUCAUCAUUAAAAAGUCUUCAAACAAAUUCUGGAGAGGGUAUGGAGAAAAGUGAGCCCUCCUGCAUGCUUGGUGGGAAUGAAAAUUUGUUGGCCACUAUGGAGAACAGUAUGGAGAUUCCUUUAAAAACU
rnacentral:lncRNA from 1 species